CUCUACCCACUGAUGGUUUUCCAUCCUGAAUUUCUCCCCCCUACCUGGUUCCUCUGGGCCUGUAUUGUAGUUCCUGUACUGCAACAUUUUGGGCUGGCACAGAGGACGCAACCCUGGGACUUGAGGGUUGGAUAGCCCCCAUUGGAUGCUGCUAAAAAGUUGUCACCCCUAACUUACUGCUCACCCUUUUCCACAUUUCUUCCCCAAAGAGGAACUGAGAGAUUGCGCUGGUUAACAACCACCACAAUAGCAGAAAAUGUCCUCACGGCUCAACAGGAUUAGACAUGAUGGAUGCUUGUCCAUAUAUAAAGUGAGAUGACUCGGGGCGACUCUGGAGAUGCCGAAGAGAAGAGACAUUAUUGCCAUUGUACUGAUUGUGUUGCCUUGGACGCUGCUCAUCAGUGUUUGGCACCAAAGCAAUGUCUCCUCUGUCCCAGCUGCUCAAAAAGCUGACACAAUUGGUGGUCACUUGGACGCCCGAGCCUUAAAGGAAUCCCUCGCACUUCACAGCCAUGACAUUGUGCACGUGGUCCGCACUAAGUAUGUUUACAAACGGCCGCCACCCUGGUCUGAACUCCUUUCUACACUCCACAUCAUUACUCCUACUUACAGCCGUCCAGUUCAGAAAGCUGAGCUGACCCGCCUGGCUAAUACUCUGCUCCACGUAUCCAACCUGCACUGGAUUGUGGUGGAGGACUCAAAGAUGAAGACUGCACUGGUUAGCCACCUUUUACAGGAAACGGGACUUAACUACACCCAUCUCAAUGUGGAGACACCUUUAAACUAUAAAGCCAGAGGAGAUGGUAGAAGCCCCAGAGUACCGCGUGGCACUUUGCAGAGGAACCUAGCCCUGCGGUGGCUGCGAGAAACCUUUCUUGUAAACUACAGCCAACCUGGAGUUGUUUACUUCGCAGAUGAUGACAACACAUACAGUCUGCAACUGUUUGAAGAGAUGAGGUCCACUAAAAAGGUGUCUGUAUGGCCCGUGGCAUUUGUGGGUGGCCUACGAUAUGAGUCACCCAAAAUAAAUGCCCAUGGCAAGGUGUUUGGCUGGAAAACCGUAUUUGACCCACAGCGGCCCUUCGCUAUAGACAUGGCUGGGUUUGCAGUGAACCUGGGCCUCAUUCUAUCCAAACCUCACGCUUAUUUCAAGCUGCGAGGCGUGAAGGGAGGAUAUCAGGAGAGUAGCUUACUGAAGGAACUGGUAACUCUGAAUGAGUUGGAGCCUAAAGCUUCAAACUGCACUAAGGUAUUAGUAUGGCACACACGGACUGAGAAGCCUGUGCUGGUAAAUGAGGGCAAGAAAGGAUUUACAGACUCUAACGUGGAGAUAUGACAUACUUGAUCUUUCACAGGUAUGAACCUGAAGGUGGAGGAGGGGAAAAGUCAAUGUGAAAGGAAACAUCACUGGGAUCUGCCUGGCCUUAAACCAAGCUUAGAGCUCCUGUGGCCAAAAUUAUAAUGGCACAAUAACAGCACUGCAAAGAUGGAGGCACUGAGCCAUGUGCAUGAGUUGAACUCAACAAAUCAAAGCACAACCGCACAGGAACUUUGUGGUCUGUUCUGCUGAGGAACACUGGAUUGACAAUGGAAGGAGCAACCAAAUGGAAACUGCCCAGUAAGAUCUGCACAGAGAGCUGAGACAAAAGAUGUUAGCGAGCAUUAACUUCAGAAAGAGAUGGAGCAGUGUCCAAUAAAAAACCCUCUCAGCACAGACGCCACCAGCCAAGCAUCCAAUCAGCACUUAAUAGGGCUUCUUUGUUCUGAGGCCAGCGGGCUGUCAGGCACAGGGCUGCACACAGAAAUAAAAGAAUUCCUUGUUUGAAAUGAGGCAGCAUUGACUGGCAGAUAGCACUAACGGGAUAGGAGCCUCCCUUUUAUUAGUACUGUACAACACUAGCCUAUUUAGAUAUCACUAAAUAUUAAUUAGGUAUUGUAUUUCUGCUCAGCACACAUUAUCUUGAUCAACUGACACACACACACACACAUAAACAUCUGCAGUGACUUAUCGUUAGACACAAACAACCUUUCACAUUAAUGUAUGAUCAGCACUUUCUGAUAUGCUGCGAUGGCUGCUGAGCUGUUCUAUUAAAGAGAGGAUUCAGCUUUGUUAAUGAUCUUUGGACUCCACAUGUGUAGUAUUAGGAAACUGGAUUGACAAAUUUUUUCUGUUUGUUGAUUAUUUAUGAUUCACAUUUGGAAAGAUGUGGAAUAUUAAGCCAUGAUUCCAAACAGUGGAAGUGAAUACUCUUGGUACUCAUUCUGACUAUUUCCAACAUGGCUUAGAUGGGGUGAUGUCAUACAACGCAGAGCUGCAGAAGCACGUCUUGAACACAUCAUGUCUCCUGACAGGUUCUGUUUUUGGUCAGUAUCCUGUAGUUGGUACCAUUGCAUUUCACAGAAACAUAUCUGUACGAUGUUUCAGUGCUGUCUGGGUGUCACAAGAAGCCAUUGACUUAUGUAACAUAAAAAUAUUUUUGUUUCA